rnacentral:lncRNA from 1 species
AGACUUGGAUUAUAGUUACAGGGCUCAGUCCCCAUAGUCUGCCUUUCAAGUUUAGGUAUAGCUAAUACGUUAAUUUGUACUACAGGCAAUUGUGGGAUCCAAGCUCUUCUAUUACCAUUCUUCGAACUCUGUCUAGUCUCCCAGUCCACCACAGUAAUUUAUGUCCAAUUUCCCAUUUUUAAACAGUUUUAAACCCUUAUUUUACAGUUUUAUUUCAAAAAUACAGGAAAUUUAACACUAUAACAGAAACUUGGGGGAUAAAGAAAAUUAGGGAAAAAUUACAAAAGAACCCUAAGUAAUGCAUUUAUUUUCAUUUUACAGACAAGGAACCUAAAGAGCAAUGAAUAUCAUCCCACAAGUACUUUUCCAUGCAUCUAUAUGUACCUUAAUUCAUAUGCAUAGAUUUCAACCAUGGUUUUGUAUGUGAUGUUUUCCCUAAUAGUCAUCAAUCCAUCUCUCCACUUAUUGAGUCAUCUGACAAAUAUUUAUUUUUGCACUACAAUGCAACAACUUUGGUUUAUAGACUUUUAAAAUGUUUGCUGAUAUGCUAAGCAAAAUAUGAUACAACAUUGUUUAAUUCAUUUUUUCUUUCUAGUAAAGCUGAACUUGUUUUAAAAAUAUUUACUAAUCAUAUUCUAUCACUUUUGAGGUAUCCCUUAAAUAUUUUGCCUAUUUGCCAUUUGUGUUUUGAGUCCUUUGUGACUUUUUAUUUAUAUGAAAACAUUACGUAUUACAAACAUCUAUCCUUCAUUGGUCAUAAGUGCUGUAAUACUAAUUAAUUAACUAAGCUACUACAAUUUGAGGUAAGGUUCAUAAUUGUCUUCCUCACAGGUUCUCUUUAGGCCUCUGUAAUACCUGAGACACUGUCUUCUCUACAGCCCGGUUGUUAUAUUGCCCUUUUAUUUGUUAUUUUUUAAGUUUUCAUUUAAAAGAUUCUCUUUUUAAUCUAUUCCAAAGUGUUGGAAGCUGACCUAUACAAGUUCCUUCCACCCACUCUUCCAGUACAGUUUUCUGAGGACACAUAGGACAUAUUUUUUUAAACAGAAAAACAAAAAGUGGACCUUCUACUGAAACCAGGUAGGACCAGAGUCAGCUCCACAGGCCCCUGUGGCAGUUUUGCCAAAGCAGGCCUUAUGGAGUGAGUGUGUGAAGUCAGGGGAAUUGAACCCUCCCUCCUGUGAGGAAAGGGCUGAGUCAACUCAUGUUCUCUUUAGUGAAAUAAUUCAAAUUCAGUUGGGAAAGCCUCCAUUAUGACAUUCCCCGGCACCCUUCUUAUACUUUAGGUAUUGAAGGCAGCUCCCUCCUUUAUGGUUGGUUUUAGUAGACAAAGAAACAAAGGAAUACAGUAUAUACAUAAUAUAUAUGUAUACAUACACACACAUAUUUAGGGGGAGGGAAAGGAGAGGAGGGUCAUAUAAACCUAAAACAGUUAUCACAUAUCUCAUUACCGCCAAAUGAGCCUGUAUCAGGUUCACGACUAUGCCAAAGGUCAUGAUGAGGUCUGGAGGGAGUGGGUGGGCAAGCAGAAAGAACACUCGGGGGGCCGUAGGCAGGUGAAAGAUGAUUUUAUUCAGCAGCACUUCUCAUCAACAGCUUUCUCACGCUAGCUCUCUACACUGUUCGCCUGUGUCUCGGCUGUCUGCUCCCGCUCUGUGGCCCCUGCUGCCCCGACACCUGCAGCUGUAUGGCCUGCUCUCCCUUGGCCUCAGGGUCAACAGCUUAACUCUUUCUCUGGGCACAAGCAAUCCAAGCUGUAUCCUGGCUCCCCAGGGAGCAUCUGCAAAUAUGGACAGCCCUGACUCUCUCUUUCUGUGGACGCCAGCACGCCCGCCAUGUCAAGCCAUGUUGAGCUGAGCCGAGCCCCAAGAGCCAUGUCUCUUGUGCACAGUGUCGACAGGGCAGUUCUACCUUUUACAGCAAUAGUGGCUCAGAGCCAAGUAUGAACUUACACAAACAAGUUAUAUAACAAGUGGAGGUGCACACUCACGCACCAAACUCGCUUGGAUAUCCACCUUGGCCUAUUCCUUGACCAAAGCACAUCCAUGUACCUUACACUCCACCCCCUAGGCUGAGGGAAACAUAGGCCCUGGACACACAGGUUUUAUACACAGGUUUGGCACACAGGCCUGGCAUAUAAGCUUUGGGCACACAGGCCUGAUACAUACACAUAGGCUUCUGGGCACAUAGGCCUGACACAUAAGCCUUAUACAUAGGCUCUGGGCACACAAGCCCAUCACAUACAUAAGCUUCAAUAAACUGCUCGGCUGUUGGCACAGAUUACCAUAGGUGUUGCAACAUUGGUGAUUACUGUUCACAUUGCCCUGAGUGCAGCUCAUUAGCUACUUUGCCUACACCUGGUUUUAACCCAUAUGGUGUUAGUACUAGGCUGGACUGUGGCAGCAAUCCAGGCAGCAGUAGCUCCCUGCCUACACAUAUCUGUGUACCAAGCCCUAUUAGGAAUGGGAGAAUGCCCUUCCUAAUGAUGAAGGCUUAGGGUUUAGGGGUGCCUCAGGCCCCAUGGCCUUACUUGGCAUUAGGACUACAGGUCCCAAGACUUCCUGUAACUCUACUGCUAAGGGACUUGUAAUCAGUGUACUUUACUGCUGUAAGUAGGCUCCCCACUUUGCUAAAGUGGAUGUCUGUGCUGUCCCAGUCGAUGGGGUCAUUACCCACGAGUGUACCCACCCCACUGUUGGGAAAGUUGUCUGCCUGAUGAUUGUAGCCAUUCCUGCCAUGCUCUUAUGAGCCUGAAGGGCAGUAUAUACAGUUACUAACUGCUUUCCCUGUCCAGGGGGUGGUUAUCCAUGAACACACCCAUCCUAUUAUUACUAACUGCUUCUGUAUCAAGGAAUACUGGAGCUCAGCUCCCUUGCAUAAUUGGGACCAAAAGCCUACUGGCAUACUCAGGCACUCAUGCACUGCCAUAGGCCCUAACUGAAACUAUCUGUGGUCACAUGCACAUCUAGCUUAAAUGGGCACCUCUGGUCAACUACCCAUAGGGCUUGUGCUUGCUGAAUAGCCUACUUGGCUACCAGGAAGGCUGUCUCAGCUGCAUCAUCCCAAUCCCAGGCAAGAAGGGCAUUGCUGCUUCUAAACCUGCAAGAGAAUCAGAAGUGAAUAUAACAUUAUUAACAAGACCAUGACAUAUGGUGGGGCUAUGCAUAUAAGCCCUGAAGCAACACUGUGAAAGUCCGUCGUCACCCUCCCAUGAAGGCAAACUGUUCCUGGCUCUCUGGAGCAAUGUCAAUGGAGAAGAAUGCAUUAGCCAAGUCCCAUCACAAAGUGGUACUGUCCCAGUUCCAUUGUCAAACAGCCAUCAAGUCUAUGAUGGAAGGUCCAGCUGCAUGCAGAGGGGAUGUUGCUUUAUUCAGUUCCUGAUAAUCCACUGUCAUCUGCCAAGUUCCAUCAGGCUUUUUGACUGGUUAUACUAGAGAAUCAUAGGGGUUAUGGGUGCACCUCCUCUAACUUCUUAUUAGUCUCAGUUAUCUCUGUGUGCUCCCCCGCCGCCCCCCAGUAAACGGUAUUGAUGAGUGGAAGUAAGUUGUUGGGGUUGUGGCAGAACUUGGGGCUGGUGAUGUGUAUGGAGUACUGGCUUUACUACACGAACCAGGAUUCCAAAUUCUCUGGCUGUGGUGUGUAAGUCCAGAUCAUGCAAAAUGUCCACCCCCAGAAUAUAUUCAUGUAUAGGAGAAACAUACAGAGUGUACAGGUGGAUAGCAGAGUAGCCAAUGCCAAUAUAGAUUCACCAUCACAGAUUGGCCCCCAUAACUGUCAAUGAAUGCAGCUUUUCCCAGAAACUUAUCCAGGUUCCCAUAAACUAGACUGCAGUCUGCACCAGUGUCUACCAGUGCUAGGGCCCGCUGUACAUUAGUAGGGGACCAGAGGAUUGCCAGCUCCUCAUAUAGCCUCCAGUUGUCCAGUUCCCCUGAGUUGGGCAACUCAGCCAGUUCCCUAAUCAAACAGGAAAGGCCUAAUGUCUUCUCCCAUCUGCAAAUAGUCCUUGAGCUGAAAAGUUUCCAGGUGGGGCUGGGUUGAACAACAUUGUCUUGCCCCUCCUUGGGCAUUCUUCAGAAUUGCAGCUCUGGGGACGAUUGCCUCCACAGAGCCAACAGCAUUCCAUUGGGUUGCCUGUCAAUUUUCUCUCUAGUAACCCCAGCUGCAAGUAAAUCAAUCCACAUCCGCAUGUGGGUCACCCGCCUGGGCCCCUUUUAAUCUCGUGGAUGGUUACUUGUGAAGGGUGCACCUUCCAUUUCUUUACGGCGUGGACUCCCAGGUCCCGCCAAUGGCCUUCUGCCUCCCCAAGGGCUGCCAUAGCAAUAGUCACUUUGUGUAUGCGGUGUCCUACAUACGGGGUGAGAACAGCAGCUAGAGGGCCAAAGCAUCCGGGGGUGCUGAACUCAGCACAAGAUCCCUCAUAGGGGAGGUAAAGCGUUCAUCAUCUGGCCCCAGAUAUUCUGAUCAAACAGCCUGCUGCAUAUUGCAUAUCCGUCUCCCGGAGCACCUGCACCAAAUCAGUAUAUGAUUGCCAUUUACUCACAGUUUCUGGGGUCUCUCUGGCAUCAUUCCAAACAGUCCGUAUGGCUGCCGUCAGCCACUUGAUUUACAUGUAGUCACUUUGCCCUUGUGUUAACCGUUGGCACAGCUGCAGCCGCCGAUGAAGGGAAGGGUGAGUUGUGAUAGAAGCCAGAUUCUCCAUCUCAGAGGCGGAGCAAGAAAUGCUAUCAGCUCCUUCAGACGCUGCCAGACUGUUUACCUACUUCCCUCAAAUCAGUGGGGGUAUAAGCACUAUAAGAGGUAUGUGCCACCACUGUGAGGGGUCCUGGGAUCUCGCCUGCGGUCCCAUUGGCUGCUCAUGUUCUACCUUCUGAUGGAUCACAGGGUGAUCCAGCAGUGGAGGAACCUCCUCCUCAGCAUCAGACUGAAUCGGAGUGUCCCGCCAGGAGGAUGGGCUCAAGGCCGGGCUGACAGCUGUUGCUAAAUCCUGUUCCUGGCUAUUUAUCUGGGCCUCUAAGUGCCCUGCUUGCACCUGGAGGUCCCCCACCCCCAGGUCCUGCUCCAAGCUGUGCACUUGGGCCCCCAGGUGCUCAGCUUGUCCUGGGAGGUCCCUUACCUGUGGAACUGAGCAUGUACUUCCUGCAGUGCUGUCAGAAACGCCCAUCCGACGCUGCCAGCAAAGGUGCAUUCCUUCUUGGUGCUGUGUGCUCGCACACUUGCAGGAGACCUCUCCACUGCCUCCCGCGUUUCCACUGGGGCUCAUCCAAGCAGCACCGCUGCCCCUGGGUACAGCCCGUGCUGCAGCCACAUAGCUGACCCAGGAGCCCUCAGGGGCCAAAGACCUACUCACUUCAUCCUGCCAACGUCGCAAUUGUCAGCUCUCUACACUGUUCGCCCGUAUCUCGGCUGUCUGCUUUGGCUCUGUGGCUCCUGCUGCCCCCACACCUGCAACUGCACGGCCUGCUCUCCCUUGGCUUUAGGGUCAGCAGCUUAACUCUUUCUCUGGGCACGAUCAAGCCGAGCUGUAUCCUGGAUCCCCUCUGUCUGCAAAGAUGGAAAGCUCUGACUCUCUCUUUCUCUGGGCGCCAGCGCACCCACCAUGUCAAGCCAUGUUGAGCUGAGCCGAGCCCCAAGAGCCAUGUCUCUUGUGCACAGUGUCAACAGGGCAGUUAUACCUUUUACAGCAAUAGUGGCUCAAAGCCAAAUAUGAACUUACAAAAACAGGUUACAUAAUAAGUGGAGGUGUGUGCUUGCAUGCCAAACUCAGUGAGUCAUGCAGGCCUGGGUAUCUGCCCAGGCCUAUUCCUUGACCAAAUCACAUCCACGUACCUCACAGCCUGACAUUAACAAAAAGAUAAUAAAAACCUCCUGGGGGUUAAGUGACAACAUGGAUGUAGCAAGAAGGGAAACUGCACACAUUUAAGUGUUACAUAUGUUUGGCAGAGUUCAGGCCAACACCUGGGUCCUGCACUUGCCAGAUAAGUAGCUAAGGAUACUCAAAGAAAAAAAAAAGUUUUUAAUUCAAGCAGAGCUCCAUACCACAGUUUUCCUUUAAGUCCUGUGGCCCGCAGGCACAGUUUCCCUACCACCAGGAACAAAUACAUUGGCUCCAAGGCAAAUUAAAAAAAAAAAAAAAGUAUUUCCACUUAAAACAUGAAAAUACAGAAACUUCAUCAAAGAAAGAAAACUAUCCAAGAAGCCUACUUCCAGCAAAACCGAGGAUCAAAAUCCAAAUUGACUGUAUGAUCAUCACUGGCAUCUUCCAAAGUUGCUUUCAUCAGAAACUAUGUCCCAGCAUUCCAGCCCCACCACUGUCCCUACCAACCCUUUGAAGCUUCUACUUCUCAAUUUUUCCUCCAUCUGGUCUAUCACCCAUUCUUUUGCCAUUAUUUUCUGCCUUCAUACCUUGUAUUAUUGCAAAAUUAAUUUCACUGGCCUUUUUGCUAUUGUUGAUAUCAGAAUCCAUUUGAUGCAGUACUCACCAAGCAUUUUGAGCCCCCUAAACCUUCUGAAGACCCCUUACCAAUCUGUUUCUGUAUUGGCUUCUAUCAUUCCAAAUUUUUUGCUUCUGUUGGUACUGACAAUGAAUUAUAUACCCCCUUAUGCACUAUAUUCCCACUGCCUUGCAUGUAGAAAGUGUUUAAUAUGAGUUAAUUAAAUAAGUUAUUGAAUAAAGCAGACUUGCUAGUCUCAAUAUUUUAUAGUUCCCAUCCGUCAUUACAGGUGUUUUCUUCUCUCCCUAAUUACUCCUUCUACUACCAUGUUUGUUUUCUGCUGCUUUAAACUAUUUAUGUUAAGUC